rnacentral:rRNA from 1 species
AUUGAACGCUGGCGGCAGGCCUAACACAUGCAAGUCGAGCGAGAGGCGGACGGGCGAGUAUUGUAUGGGGACUGCCCGAUAGAGGGGGAGAACUCCUGUAAAAGGUAGCUAAUACCGCAUACGAUCGUAUAACACAUAUGGGUUUAGCUAUUAGGUGAGGUAAUGGCUCACCUAGGCGAGAAUCCCUAGCUGGUCUGAGAGGAUGAUCAGCAACACUGGAACUGAGACACGGCCCGGACUCCUACGGAGGAAGCAGUGGGGAAUAUUGCACAAUGGGCGCAAGCCUGAUGCAGCCAUGCCGCGUGUAUGAAGAAGGCCCUCGGGUUGUAAAGUACUUUCAGUCGGGAGGCGUUACCGACAGAAGAAGCACCGGCUAACUCCGUGCCAGCAGCCGCGGUAAUAC